GGCGACGACGGGUAGCCGGCCUGAGAGGGCGACCGGCCACACUGGGACUGAGACACGGCCCAGACUCCUACGGGAGGCAGCAGUGGGGAAUAUUGCACAAUGGGCGAAAGCCUGAUGCAGCGACGCCGCGUGAGGGAUGACGGCCUUCGGGUUGUAAACCUCUUUCAGCAGGGAAGAAGCGAAAGUGACGGUACCUGCAGAAGAAGCACCGGCUAACUACGUGCCAGCAGCCGCGGUAAUACGUAGGGUGCGAGCGUUGUCCGGAAUUAUUGGGCGUAAAGAGCUUGUAGGCGGUUUGUCGCGUCUGCUGUGAAAAUCCGGGGCUCAACCCCGGACUUGCAGUGGGUACGGGCAGACUAGAGUGUGGUAGGGGAGACUGGAAUUCCUGGUGUAGCGGUGA
rnacentral:rRNA from 2 species